rnacentral:rRNA from 1 species
CCUACGGGUGGCAGCAGUGGGGAAUAUUGGGCAAUGGGCGCAAGCCUGACCCAGCAACGCCACGUGAAGGAAGAAGGCUUUCGGGUUGUAAACUUCUUUUCUCAGGGACGAAGCAAGUGACGGUACCUGAGGAAUAAGCCACGGCUAACUACGUGCCAGCAGCCGCGGUAAUACGUAGGUGGCAAGCGUUAUCCGGAUUUACUGGGUGUAAAGGGCGUGUAGGCGGGACUGCAAGUCAGAUGUAAAAACCACGGGCUCAACCUGUGGCCGGCAUUGGAAACGGUAGUUUUUGAGUACUGGGGAGGAAGACGGAAUUCCGAGUGUAGCGGGGAAAGGCG